AGGAAACCUGACAGGAAGUCAUGAUGACUGUAUCUUGAGUUGAGAUACAGAAAGGAUUUCAAGGUGUUUAUAUUUCUGUAUUUAACUUUACAACCAUAUCUACUACGACUUCUGUAUUUAACUUUACAGCCAUAUCUACUACGACUUCUGUAUUUAACUUUACAACCAUAUCUACUACGACUUCUGUAUUUAACUUUACAGCCAUAUCUACUACGACUUCUGUAUUUAACUUUACAACAAGAUCUACUACGACUUCUGUAUUUAACUUUACAACAAGAUCUACUACGACUUCUGUAUUUAACUUUACAACCAUAUCUACUACGACUUCUGUAUUUAACUUUACAACCAUGUCUACUACGACUUCUGUAUUUAACUUUACAGCCAUAUCUACUACGACUUCUGUAUUUAACUUUACAGCCAGAU
rnacentral:lncRNA from 1 species